UACGAAGGGGGCUAGCGUUGUUCGGAAUUACUGGGCGUAAAGCGCGCGCAGGCGGCCAUUCAAGUCAGGGGUGAAAGCCCAGAGCUCAACUCUGGAACUGCCCUUGAAACUGUAUGGCUUGAGUAUGAGAGAGGUGAGUGGAAUUCCCAGUGUAGAGGUGAAAUUCGUAGAUAUUGGGAAGAACACCGGUGGCGAAGGCGACUAACUGGACAUGUAUUGACGCUGAGGUGCGAAAGCGUGGGGAGCAAACAGA
rnacentral:rRNA from 1 species